rnacentral:rRNA from 1 species
UACGUAGGGGGCAAGCGUUGUCCGGAAUCAUUGGGCGUAAAGAGCGUGUAGGCGGUCCGGUAAGUCGGCUGUGAAAGUCCAGGGCUCAACCCUCGGAUGCCGGUGGAUACUGUCGGGCUUGAGUACGGAAGAGGCGAGUGGAAUUCCUGGUGUAGCGGUGAAAUGCGCAGAUAUCAGGAGGAACACCAAUUGCGAAGGCAGCUCCGCUGGGACGUUACUGACGCUGAGACGCGAAGCGUGGGAGCAAACAGG